CCUACGGGUGGCAGCAGUGAGGAAUAUUGGUCAAUGGGCGGGAGCCUGAACCAGCCAAGUCGCGUGAGGGAAGACGGUCCUAUGGAUUGUAAACCUCUUUAGGCGGGGAGCAAUGCCGGGCACGCGUGCCCGGAGGGAGAGUACCCGCAGAAUAAGCAUCGGCUAACUCCGUGCCAGCAGACGCGGUAAUACGGAGGAUGCGAGCGGUAUCCGGAUUUAUGGGGUUUAAAGGGUGCGUAGGCGGAUUUUUAAGUCAGCGGGAAAAGGGACGGGCUCAACCCGGGCCGGCCGUUGAAACUGGGGAUCUUGAGUGGGCGAGAAGUAUGCGGAAUGCGUGGUGUAGCGGUGAAAUGCAUAGAUAUCACGCAGAACUCCGAUUGCGAAGGCAGCAUACCGGCGCCCGACUGACGCUGAGGCACGAAAGCGUGGGGAUCGAACAGGAUUAGAUACCCGUGUAGUC
rnacentral:rRNA from 1 species